AAUUUAGCAGAGAUGCUUUAGUGCCUUCGGGAACUCUGAGACAGGUGCUGCAUGGCUGUCGUCAGCUCGUGUUGUGAAAUGUUGGGUUAAGUCCCGCAACGAGCGCAACCCUUAUCCUUUGUUGCCAGCACGUAAUGGUGGGAACUCAAAGGAGACUGCCGGUGAUAAACCGGAGGAAGGUGGGGAUGACGUCAAGUCAUCAUGGCCCUUACGAGUAGGGCUACACACGUGCUACAAUGGCGCAUACAAAGAGAAGCGACCUCGCGAGAGCAAGCGGACCUCAUAAAGUGCAUCGUAGUCCGGAUUGGAGUCUGCAACUCGACUCCAUGAAGUCGGAAUCGCUAGUAAUCGUAAAUCAGAAUGUUACGGUGAAUACGUUCCCGGGCCUUGUACACACCGCCCGUCACACCAUGGGAGUGGGUUGCAAAAGAAGUAGAUAGCUUAACCUUCGGGAGGGCGUUUACCACUUUGUGAUUCAUGACUGGGGUGAAGUCGUAACAAGGUAGGCGUAGUGCU
rnacentral:rRNA from 1 species